UACAGAGGGGGCGAGCGUUGUUCGGAAUUACUGGGCGUAAAGGGCGCGUAGGCGGCCUGUUAAGUCGGACGUGAAAUCCCUCGGCUCAACCGGGGAACUGCGUCCGAUACUGGCGGGCUUGAAUUCGGGAGAGGGGUGUGGAAUUCCAGGUGUAGCGGUGAAAUGCGUAGAUAUCUGGAGGAACACCGGUGGCGAAGGCGGCAUCCUGGACCGACAUUGACGCUGAGGCGCGAAAGCCAGGGGAGCAAACGGG
rnacentral:rRNA from 1 species